AGAGGGCGAUGCAUGUUAAUCAAGGAGCCUGCAUUUGCGCAGGUAUAGACAAUUACACAUUUACUGGGUCAGUUGCACCUGGGGGGGACGCCAAUCUGUAAAGCAGAACCAAACCUCUUGCCUUCAGUCCUCAGAAGUUCUUCUGGUUAAAAUCAUCUAAAAAGUUGUUUCAAGUCUCCAGAACAGCUGAGAUCAGCAAAAAUAAAUGAAGCUUCUUCUGUGUGGGUGCAGAUGCUGGCCUGGGUGCUGGAAUAUGGAAAUGAGGAAGAUCCUGCCUGAGGAUUUCAUGACAGGUGAGGGGGAGAGAGGCCUGAGGAAGUUACCACCGGGGAAGGUGACAAGUGCAGUGAUAGGAUAAAUACGAAGUGCAAAGAGAAGACAGACAAGAAGUUCAGCUAGCUAAGAAAUGUGUUAAUAACACCUUGAUCAAUCAUUCCUCCACUUUUUUUUUCUUUUGAGAGUCUCAUUCUGUCACCCCACCCAGAGUGCAGUGGCAGGAACACAACUCAUUGCUACUUCAACUUUCUGGGCUCAAGCGAUCCUCCUGCCUCAGCCUCCUGUGUAGCUGGGGCCACGUGUAUUGCACCACCAAGCCUGGCUUAUUUUUUAAUUUCUUUUGUAAAGACAGGGUCUCACUAUGUUGCCCAGACUGGUUUCAAACUCUUGGACUUAAGCAAUCCUCUCAUCUUUGCCUCCCAAAGUGCUGCGAUUACCGACGUGAGCCACUGUGCCCAGCCUCACUUUAAAAAAAAAAAAAGGUUAUGAAGCAUCUCAACACAAGACCUCCUUUGCUCAUCACAACCACCCAGUGAAGCAGGCAAGACAACAGAAACUCCCCACCUGUGAUAGAUGUGAGGCCUGAAGUCUCCCACAUACCCACGGCAGAUGCAACGCACAGCGGUGACCAAUGGUGAAGGAUCUAAAACCUGAAAAGAGGCCAAAUGAUUCCUCAAAACCACGCAAGUACGAAGUAGCAGAGCGGAUCUCAAAUCCAGAGCACUGCGUGUUUUGAAAUAUACAAAUAGUGGGAAACGAAAUCUUUGUUCUGGAUGCAGUUAUAAUUUGGAAAGCGAGGAAAUAAAUUAUAACAAGGGGAAAAAACAGACACAGAGGGAUUGAAAUGCAUAACAAUAGAGAUGAAACACGAAGAGUGAUAAAUGAAGAUUGAGUGUGCACACCUUCUGGAGGAGCCCUGAUUGAGUAUUUUAAAAUACUACUAAAGUCAUGCCGUGUGACUUCUGAAGCUAGCUCCUAAGAAGUCCUUGCAGCUUCUGCCUGCGACUCUUAGAACACUUGCUUUGAAGGAUGCCAGAUGCUGUCUUAAAAGUCUGAGCACUCUGAAACCAUCAUGCUGUGAGGAAGCCCAAGCUAACCACAUGGGCAAAAAAGAUGCCCUCUGACUGCCACCAUUUGAGACACUCUAAUUAAGAACUGCCUCAUUGAGCCCAUGAGGCCCUGUGAAUGAUAAUAAUAAAUUGUUUUUAACCACUAUGUUUUUGGAUUUGUUAUAAGUUUAUAGAUAACAAGAAAAAGUUAUAUUAGCAUGGUAAUAAAAUUAUGGAUAUGUGUAA
ensembl:lncRNA LINC00964 long intergenic non-protein coding RNA 964